UGGGGAAUAUUGCACAAUGGAGGGAACUCUGAUGCAGCGACGCCGCGUGAACGAAGAAGGCUUUCGAGUCGUAAAGUUCUUUUAUAUGGGAAGAUAAUGACGGUACCAUAAGAAAAAGCCCCGGCUAACUACGUGCCAGCAGCCGCGGUAAUACGUAGGGGGCUAGCGUUGUCCGGACUCACUGGGCGUAAAGGGUUCGCAGGCGGAAAUGCAAGUCAGGUGUAAAAGGCAGUAGCUUAACUACUGUAAGCAUUUGAAACUGCAUAUCUUGAGAAGAGUAGAGGUAAGUGGAAUUUUUAGUGUAGCGGUGAAAUGCGUAGAUAUUAAAAAGAAUACCGGUGGCGAAGGCGACAUACUGGGCUCAUUCUGACGCUGAGGAACGAAAGCGUGGGUAGCAAACAGG
rnacentral:rRNA from 1 species